AGGGCACAGAUCCAUAUAUGGCAAUAGUCUUUCUGCAUAAAAGCCUACUGCAGCUCUGAUUGGUUAUGCCACACCGGUUUAUGUAGAGUAUGGCUGAGUCGUGUGGCUGAGUCAUGCAUGUCAAUGAAAUAGAAUCCUACUCCGAUGCGUUCUGCCUACAACAAAAUCUGCAAGCAUAGUUCGUUUUGCAUGGCAUCUUCAGAAAACCAGGGAAAGGAGUCUACUACAUCAGAUUCACCGCCAUGGGUUGAAAGUCUUAUCAGAAAAUUGGUGUGUACUUGACCAAAAAUGGACAGCGACUGCUACACAACGUCCAGGAUAACUUCAAUGGUAGUUACGAGUACAUAUCAGGUGCCAUGAUUCUGCAACUGGAGAAAGAUGAUCAUGUGUACAUGGAGCUUCCCUGGGGGUGUGGGCUGUUCGAUGUCUCGUACAACCACAACAUCUUUAGUAGCUUCUUGCUCUUUCACACCAACCAAGCUAUGGUCCUACACCACUAAAGUCCUUAGGUCCCUCCCGAGCCCUGUACUAAAGUUCACACUCAUAAAGUCCCUAAGUCUUUUCUAGGCAGGAAUAAUUUAUAAUUAGUUGAUACAAUUUUGAACACAAAGCUUAUGUCAAGUUGUGUAAUUAGCUCAUUUAUAAUAGGGUUUCGAUGCAGGACUUGCUUUUGGCAACAUAUGUCAUAAGAAUGCAAUUUCACUGAGAGCCAUGAUUCAACAAUAUUUUUUUCUAUGGGAGUCACAGAGACAACAGGAUAGCAUAUCUGUUAUUUGGGAAACACUUUGUUUGUAGUAGAAUCAAUGGCUCAUAUUUUUUACCUGACGAUUAUAUCUGGUACUAUCCCCAAGGUUUGGAAGGCGACUCAUGUACCUCCCCUCAAAGGAGAUGCCCCUUGCCACCUAAAUAACUAUCAACCUACAGUUGAAGUCAGAAGUUUACAUACACCUUAGCCAAAUACAUUUAAACUCAGUUUUUCACAAUUCCUGACAUUUAAUCCUAGGUAAAAUUCCCUGUCUUACGUUAGUUAGGAUCGCCACUUUAUUUUAAGAAUGUGAAAUGUCAGAAUAAUAGUAGAGAGAAUUAUUUAUUUCAGCUUGUAUUUCUAUCAUCACAUUCCCAGUGGGUGAGAAGUUUACAUAUACUCAGUGAGUAUUUGGUAGCAGUGCCUUUAAAUUGUUUAACUUGGGUCAAAUGUUUCGGGUAGCCUCCCACAAGCUUCCCACAAUAAGUUGGGUGAAUUUUGGCCCAUUCCUCCUGACAGAGCUGGUGUAACUGAGACAGGUUUGUAGGCCUCCUUGCUCGCACAUGCUUUUUCAGUUCUGCCCACACAUUUUCUAUAGGAUUGAGGUCAGGGCUUUGUGAUGG
rnacentral:lncRNA from 1 species